GAUGAACGCUGGCGGCGUGCCUAAUACAUGCAAGUCGAGCGAACAGAUGAGGCGCUUGCUCCUCUGUCGUUAGCCGCGCACGGGUGUGUAACACGUGUAUACCCCACCUAUCUUACUGGGAUCACUUCGGGACUCCGGCGCUAAUACCGGAUAAUCUAUUGAUCCGUAUGGUUCAUUAGUGAAAGACGGCUUUGCUGUCACUUAUAGAUGCAUCCGGGCUGCAUUAGCUGGUUGGUACGGUAACGGCUUACCAAGGCAACGAUGCGUAGCCGACCGGAGAGACGGAUCGCCCACAUGGGAGCGGGGACAGGGUCCAGACUCCUGCGGGAGGCAGCAGAAGGGAAUGUGCCGCAGUAGGGGAGAGCAUGGCGGAGCGACGCCGCGUGAGAGAUGAAGGUCUUCGGUGCGUAAUACUCUGUUAUGGGUGAAGAACAAAUGUGUAAGUAACUAUGCACGUCUUGACGGUACCUGGUCAGAAAGCCACGGCUAACUACGUG
rnacentral:rRNA from 1 species